UUGUGACCGUGCGGCUGCUCA
rnacentral:misc_RNA from 1 species